rnacentral:rRNA from 1 species
CGGGGAAUCAGGGUUCGAUUCCGGAGAGGGAGCCUGAGAAACGGCUACCACAUCCAAGGAAGGCAGCAGGCGCGCAAAUUACCCACUCCCGGCACGGGGAGGUAGUGACGAAAAAUAACGAUACGGGUACUCAUCCGAGGCCCCGUAAUCGGAAUGAGUACACUUUAAAUCCUUUAACAAGGAUCCAUUGGAGGGCAAGUCUGGUGCCAGCAGCCGCGGUAAUUCCAGCUCCAAUAGCGUAUAUUAAAGUUGUUGCGGUUAAAAAGCUCGUAGUUGAAUCUGUGUUUCACACUGUCGGUUCACCGCUCGCGGUGUUUACUGGCAUGAUGUGGGACGUCCUACCGGUGGGCUUAGCCCUUCGGGGCGGUCCAACUAAUAUCCCAUCGCGGUGCUCUUCAUUGAGUGUCGAGAUGGGCCGGUACGUUUACUUUGAACAAAUUAGAGUGCUUAAAGCAGGCUAGCCUCGCCUGAAUACUGUGUGCAUGGAAUAAUGGAAUAGGACCUCGGUUCUAUUUUGUUGGUUUUCGGAACUCCGAGGUAAUGAUUAAUAGGGACAGAUGGGGGCAUUCGUAUUGCGACGUUAGAGGUGAAAUUCUUGGAUCGUCGCAAGACGGACAGAAGCGAAAGCAUUUGCC